AUCUGUCACACACAUCUUUCACACCUCUCAGUCCUUCUCAGCAGAGAGGAAGUAGAGAUGCGUAGAGAGGAGAGGUGGUCACAAGAGUUUAGAGAGAGUUUGUGAUCGACACGUUGAGAUGGAAAGGACCUGUCUUCUACUCUUGCUGUUGAGUACAUUGGUAUACUGUAGCCUCGGACAAGGUGGAGCCUCUCUGGGUGUCAGUCCUGACAGAUCUCAGUUCUUUAAAUAUGAGUCUGUCUCUCUGAGCUGUGAGGUUCAGGGGAAAUCUGCUGGAUGGAGAGUGAAGAGAUACACAGUCUCUGGGGAGCGUUCAGAUUGUGGAAGAAAAUGGGGAAAACCACAAGGGUCUUCAUGCAUCAUGUCACUAAUACCAUCACACAGUGGAGUGUACUGGUGUGAGUCUGGGUCUGGAGAACACAGCAUUGCUGUCAACAUCACAGUACAUGCUGGAGCUGUGAUCCUGGAGAGCCCUGCCCUUCCUGUGACUGAGGGAGAUUCUGUGACUCUGCGCUGCAGAUAUCAAGGAACUCUCUCUAACCACACAGCUGAUUUCUACAAAGAUGGAUCCCUGAUCAGGACUGAGACUACAGGAGAGAUGACCAUCCCUGCAGUAUCCAAGUCAGAUGAAGGACUCUACAAGUGUACCAACUCCAGCUCUGAAGGAGAAUCACCAGAGAGCUGGAUGACUGUGACAGCUAGGGGCUCUACCCCAUCCUCCUCUCCUCCCAAAGCCCUCCCCUCCCCCUCUCUCUCCUCCUCUCUCUGUCUGUCUCUGGGUUGGUGGCUGUUCUCUCCAUCUCUCUGAUCAUUCUACUGGUCCUGUUCUGCAAGAGGAACAAAGAUGUAGCUGCUGAACCCAGAGAUGUUACGUAUGCUGACGUCAGAAUCACACAGGACCCAGAACCCAGGAGAAGGAGAGUUCCAGGUGGAUCUGGUCCAGGUGAUGUGACCUAUGCUGACAUCAACCACACAGAGAAGAGACAACACAACAGGAGGAGAGAGAAGGUCGUUCCAGACCCUGUCUACUCAGCAGUGAAGACAGACAGAGAUACAGGUCAAAAAGGUCGUUCCAGACCCUGUCUACUCAGCGGUGAAGACAGACAGAGAUACAGGUAGAGCUGUAUCUGGAUCCUGGGACUGAACGUACAGACUGAGUGACCCUGUUCAUCAGAACGUCAUGGUGGAUGGAAAAAGAUGCUCUCUUCAGCUGCGGUGAAUAACCACAACCCUGUCAGUCCAUCUCUUUACUUCUCCUUUCUCUUAUAUUCUCUCUCCCUCCUUCCCUUUUCGUAACCAACUGCGGCCUUGACCUCCAACAGUAUCAGCAACAGAGAGGUGUGAAGUUUCCACAACAGAGAGAGUCAGUUUAUCAUGUACUUCUCUUUAGACGCUGCAGCCUUGACCUCCAUCAACAGAGUUAGAGUUAGUUUAUCAUGAGAACAUACAGACACCACUGACUGGAACCAGCUGACAGUAUCAGU